UCUAUUUUAAAUUCUUCAUAAGAACAUACAUAGUUAACAACUUAAUACAGUCAAAAAUAAUUAUUGUUUUGAUAUAUGUUUUUUUUCCCUACAAGGAGCAGGGAAUACCAAACUAAAUAAAACUGAGUAAAUGGUGGAGGAAGGGCAGAGCAAAACAGUGGUUUAUAUUUCUUUGUCAAAACAAAGCUGAAUAAGAAGCUUGUGCUACGAAGAAAGUUUGACUAGUGUUACAGACACAGAGGGAGGGCACUUUUGGUUAAAAACAGAACAGUCAUAGGGUUGCUCUUACUGCCUUUUUUUUUUUUUUUUCCCUGCAUGCAGAAAAUGUUUGGCAUUCCCCAACAAAACCCACGAAAACACCUACGUCAAAAUGUUAAAUAGGUUUUGAAAUCAAAUACUUAAAGGUCAAGAAAUGCCACAUGUGUAUAAAUCGCCAGAAGAAUUCAAAUUCUACCUCUCUGUGCCUCCAGCCUGGAGACUGAAUGAAGGGGGAUUGUGUUAGAAGGAACAAGCAAAAAACCCUGUUAUGUGGGCACAUAAAGAUUACCAGUGACACUCCUAUUCAUAGGAAGGUGGAAUUGCAUUUCCUAUUAGCUUUAGUUACUCCGUUUUUAAAAAAGUUUUCUGCUAAUUGAAAUAUCAUGUAGCCUUUUGCUGUGACAACUUCCAUCUAUUCUCCUUAUGGUCCCACAUAUAUUUUAUAAAAUUGUAAGCCAUGGGACACAGGAUAUGUCACUCAUUUUGUUAUAAAUAGCUAAUCCUAGCUACAGCACUGUGAAAAUCAUCGUUUGCUGUUGAGCUCCUUUGGACCCGAAGGAGGAUGUUGACACUGUGUUUCCCUGUACUGGUCUAGAGGUACAACAGGCUUUGGCAGCAGUCUUUGUAUCAGCUGGGCUUUCUUAAGUCCAUGAAAUUGCCUGAAUCCGGUACAGUGAUGCUGCUUGUGGAGUCUGCCAAGUAAGCAGCAGCAUUUGUCUGCGGAGCUCUGUGAGACAUGGGGCUGCAGGAUCUCGGCUGCUUGGGAUGCUCAGCCCACAGCUUAAUGCCUUAUGUGGCCUUGCUGCCCCAUUUGAGUCUGGAGCUGCUGGGAGUUGCAACUGUUUGAUUUGUCUACUUUCUGUGGGCUUCAUUAACAAACUGUUUUAAAGCUAUUUUGGCAUAUUGAAAGAUUAAGCUACAGUGGUAGCGUUCCUCUGGUAGUAUAGAUUCCUGUAAAUAGACUUCAUGGUUUUCACAAAGACAGUGCCCUUACGAGAAACAGAAGCUCUUGCAGGAUCCUGGAGAUGACUGGCCAGCACCCUGAUUUACCUUGUUAACUGGUAUUUCCAUGAGUUGUCACAAAUAGAUGCUAGCUGAUGGACACGGUGACAGCCAGCCAAGAAACCAUGUAUGGGCAUCAAACAUAGCGGAGGGCAAGGAUAACAGUCAGGAAUGUAACCUCCUGGAGUUGCCUGGGUAAGGCAGAAUGCCACCUGGCACAAACCCUGGCUGCUGUAAGGUUAAAAAUAACAAAUAGGAUCCCUAUUACAUAAGGAAAUCUUUUGUCCUUCUUUAAUGGGGCACUAUGAUACGCUGGAAAGAAUAAAUAGGGAGCUUCUCUGAACUCCCCUUUUUUUCCUCUGAACUCUAUUGCUUGUGGUUAGUGCUGAGGGCCAAACCAGCUGAAAAUACCAGGGCUGGUUGUAAGCAGGACCCGCGUACAAACUGCUGGUGUUAAAUGGGUGACAUCUGGGUGCAGUGCCAGUGUCUAAGGGUGGUCAGCAGCAGCGUCAAACCAUUUCACUCUACUGGUGGCAUCUCGGCCCCGGGAAGGACUUCUAGUCCCUUAUCUGUGAUGACCAUGUUACUCUAUUUGCGUUACAGUAUCUGUGUGUUCAAAGCAGCCCAUAAACCCCCGGGAUGCCUGCAGUCCAUUGCCCACGUUCUGCUGCUUAGUGCAGUAAGAUGGGUCUUGGAGAAGCUGUUGAAGUUACUGUGGAUGAACUUGAAACUCGCCCCAGAAGUGUGAUGUGUUUUCAUGCCUGCAGGUCACUUCCAGUCCCAUGAAGGAAACACCCGCUGUGGUUUCAGUUAAAUAAUUAAUCUAAAGUGAUACUAAUGCUCAAGUUUUCCUUUGAGUCCUACUACGUUCUCCUCUGAUCACACUCAAUGUGAGAUGCCAUCUGUGAUGAAUCUGCAGCCUGUGUCCAAGCCGAAUUCUCCCGUUUCAAGUGGCAGCUUUGAGGACUGUCAAAGGCAACACUCACAUCCAGUUCAACUGCACAGCUCUGCCUGUACCCAUCAUCUUUUUGUAGACUAUGAUGCCUUUCAGAAAGAGCUGGUAGCGCUUGGAUCAAAGGCUCAGCAGCCAGAUGGGCUGUGCUCAUGGAAUAUAGCAAAGGAAACUGGACUCAACCACCAAAACCUCAGUGACCAAAAAGCUCAUGGCAGAAGCUGGAGUGCACUUCACAUUCAAGUGAAGGGUAAAGUGCUGCUGCUGGAGAAGGGCUAGCAUCCCUGAAAUGAGUGAUGGACCCCAGGAACCGAGAAAUACGAUGGGGAUUUUUAAGAGACAAUCUACACAGGACUGUAGAAGCUUGUAUCCUACUUAACACCAUCUAAGCACAUUAACCUUCCUCUGACAGAUGCCUGGCCUGCAGCUCUAAAGAGAAACCCCCAAACCUCUCCAAACCCGGUGAGAGCUGAUGCCCCUGAGCUCUGUUAUGAGACACAAGUUCACAAUAGCAGCUCCAACCUGGAAGACAAAGCUUGCUCAUGGAUUAAAGAUUUUAAGAUGCUG